rnacentral:misc_RNA from 1 species
AACGCACGAGACCUGCGGACCUGCGGAAGGAUCAUUAUCGAGUUGAGGGUCGCCCUCGCGCGCCCGAACCUCCCAACCCUGUGUCUACCACACCUUGUCGUUGCUUCGGCGGACCGGCCGCGCGUUUCGUGACCAACUGGUCGCACGCCGGCCGCCGGGGGCCCGUCGUGCCCCUGGAGAGCGUCCGCCGAUGGCCCAACCACACAAACUCUUGUACCGAAACGUGUCGUCUGAACGAAA